AAGCAUCUGCUGAUAGGCCAGGAGCAACUCCUUUUGUUCCCUGGCUUGCAUUAAGAUGCAAUAGCAACUUCCUCGCGCUUUCUGCCUGCCUUAUAACGUGGCAGCUCAGAUUGAAUAGGGGAGAACAUGU